rnacentral:rRNA from 1 species
UACGAAGGGUGCAAGCGUUGCUCGGAUUUAUUGGGCGUAAAGGGUAGGUAGGUGGUCUGGAUUGUCAGAGGUGAAAUCCCCGAGCUUAACUUGGGAAGUGCCUCUGAAACGUCCAGACUAGAGUUCUGGCGAGGGUUGUAGAAUUCCCGGUGUAGCGGUGAAAUGCGUAGAUAUCGGGAGGAAUACCAGAGGCGAAGGCGGCAACCUGGACAGAUACUGACACUAAACUACGAAAGCGUGGGUAGCAAACAGG